GGAAAGGUGGCUGAGAGGUUGAAGGCACCACUCUCGAAAAGUGGCAGGGGUGAAAGCUCCUCGAGGGUUCAAAUCCCUCCCUUUCCG
rnacentral:tRNA from 1 species